AAGUCUGGUGCCAGCAGCCGCGGUAAUUCCAGCUCCAAUAGCGUAUAUUAAAGUUGUUGCAGUUAAAAAGCUCGUAGUUGAAUUUCGGGGUUAGUAGGUUGGUCAUGCCUCUGGUAUGUACUGGUCUCACUGAUUCCUCCUUCCUUAUGAACCGUAAUGCCAUUAAUUUGGUGUUGCGGGGAAUUUGGACUGUUACUUUGAAAAAAUUAGAGUGUUUAAAGCAAGCUAACGCUUGAAUACAUUAGCAUGGAAUAAUGAAAUAGGACGUUCGAUCUUAUUUUGUUGGUUUCUAGGAUUGACGUAAUGAUUAAUAGGGAUAGUUGGGGGCAUUAGUAUUCAAUUGUCAGAGGUGAAAUUCUUGGAUUUAUUGAAGACUAACUACUGCGAAAGCAUUUGCCAAGGAUGUUUUCAUUAAUCAAGAACGAAAGUUAGGGGAUCGAAGACGAUCAGAUACCGUCGUAGUCUUAACCAUAAACUAUGCCGACUAGGGAUCGGAUGAUGUUAAUUUUUUAAUGACUCAUUCGGCGCCUUACGGGAAACCAAAGUGUUUGGGU
rnacentral:rRNA from 1 species